GGGUCCGUAGCUCAGUUGGGAGAGCGCUGCCUUCGCAUGGCAGAGGUCGUGAGUUCGAAUCUCAUCGGAUCCA
rnacentral:tRNA from 1 species